CUUUAUUAGUCUGGCCAGACAGCACUCCCAAAGCAAAGUAGCUUAGAGAGGCAACUGGCUCAGAGUCCAAGGCUGUUUUUAUAGGGGGUCGCAGGGGAAGUUGGCAAGCAGAAAUACAAAAGUGGAGGAGAGAGAUAAAACAGACCUUUUACAGAUUGUCCUUAAGAUAACAUAUUCAGAUAUGGACUUGGGCAAGUAUGAUGGAACACUACGCACACAACAGACCUUCCUGGCACAACAACAAGCACGUCCCUGGAACUCAAUGUCUAGCUGGUGAUCCAUAACAGAAGCAGACAAGUUGGGGCCCUAUUACAAAAUGGAGUAACUGUUGUUCAGUCUUACAUUCUCCACUGAUUUUUCCCUUAGCUGUGUAAUCUUAUACAGCAUUAUCUUGGUAUUCUUGCCUCCAUCUUUGUUCUUUCUCAUCUAGCUCACUUAAAGGAUGAUAUUUGGCCUGUUGACUCAAAAUCAUUAGGCGAACAGAUCCUAUUGGGGCCCUUACAUAGGCUAUAAGCUUAUUAAUAAUGCAUGGGCCAAAAGUCAAAGCUAGUAACAAGAUUAACAGGGGUCCAGCAAGGGCAGAAACAAGGGUAGUCAUCCAGGGAGACCAGUUAAACAUUGACUGGAACCAUCCCUCCUGUUUUAUCAAUCUAUUAUAAUUUUCUUGUAGAUGUUUAUUUACAGUGGCCAGAGUUUCUCUUAUUAUUCCAAAUUUGUUAGCAUAAUAGCAACAUUGCUCUCCCAGGGCUACACAUAGCCCUCCCUCUUUCAUAAACCUGAGGUCAAGUCCUCGGCAGUUUUGAAGGACCAUCUCAGCCAGAGAAUCAACUUGUUUUUCCAAAUGAGACACUGACUCGGUAAGUAGCCCUAAGUCUAUUUUUAUCUGUUGGGGAAGGGUCUUGAAAUUAGAGUCUUUCAGUCCUAUCCUGGUCACACCCAGAGCCUCUGAUCCCGCAAUGCCUGCUGCAGUUAACACAGGAAUCAGUGCUGGGUGGCACUUCUCUCGGGUGUGUGCUCUCUUAGCUAGGUAUUCCCAACCCUGGUCUUCUCCAUAUAUAGUGACUUGGGGUAAAAUGUGGACCAUUACACAUACCUCAAGUUCCUGAUUGAGGACUGUCAUGGAUAAACAGGGAGUUAUACCAUUUGUACAUGCCCACCAUGCAUUGUUUCUAGCUUUUAAAUAUUUUUCAUUACUGAUGGUGGGUGUCUGAUAAGAACAUAUACUGUCCAGAUAAGAUGAUGUAACACUUGGAUUUUUAACACAUAACCCUUUUCCUUUUAUAUCCCCAAUUGACAACCUCGGUUGUUUUCAAUCAUACUCAUUUUGGUCAGCUUCUGAGAAGGUGCCAUUGACUGUUAACCCUACAUAAUAUGGGGACGUGGAUUCAAACACAGCCAACACCCUUGAGUAAGGUUGGAGCUAGACUCAUUUAACAGGGUGUACGUGGCAUCCAGAGUUUUUAGGUAUGGUUGGAUUGGAGACUCAGGAGCAACUAAUGACACAUUAUAGGUUCCUUUUGCCUUUUCUUUUUCUUGGGGGCUGGAGACCCCAUAAAUGUUGCCUACCAGUUUAGGCGGUACUAUUACCGGGCUACGCUGGAUGAGGAGGUCAGUCAUAGGGUCCUUUCUACCCACAUAGAGUGCCAUCAUCCAGGAUUUUCCUUUUUCCCAAUCUUUAUAUGGAUUUUGCCAUUGUUUUAAGGUUAGCUUGAUGGGAUUACAUUUUCCUUUGGAACAUGAACCACUUGGUGUUUGUCAUUCCAAGGCCAAAUACGCAUCGCAUCAUCAUUUUUCCAUGGGGCAAUAGAUUUGCAACCCCAAUGAUGACAGUGGUUUCCUGGUGUCCCAUUGCACCUUUUAUUUUUCCCUAUGGGGCAGGCAUAAAUAUCUAUAUCUUGGAGGUUUUUUUCCAAUUUAUCAUCUAUUCCACACCUCCAUCCACAGCCCCCUUUACCCAUCUUUUCAGAUGAAACUUUACCCUUUGAUCCAGCCCCUCCACCACUAAUGAUUGGAAGCCCUAGAGAACACAGGUCUAUAAUAAAAUGGGGCUGUCUAUCAGUAGUAAUGGUGGCAAUGUGAGCUCCCGUUAAGGCAUUUUUCAAGGACCAAGUCCAGUUCUGGGGAGUGUGGCUGGACAACACCAGCUGGCAUCCAGAUCCCCCUUCCAUUGGGCCUGGUAAGAACAGUAGCCCCAAGAACCCCCAUGUUGUCCAAACUAGUCUUUGAUCAAUCUUAUCUUGAGGGGGUCCUUUGUGUUCCGAUCGAUCCGCCAUGUUGACGUCUCUUCCUCCAGGGGUGCUGCCUUUAAAUGGCUGUGGUGGAUCCAGGCAGAGUGUCCAGCUACCUUCACUGCUGAGGGAGUCACCAGGAUGACAGGAAAUGGUCCCUCCCAGAGGGGUUCAAGGGUCUUGGAGUCAAACCUGUGAAUGAAAACCAAAUCCCCCGGCUUAUAGGAGGGAGAAAACUGGGACAGAGGAACAUUCAUACAGGAGGA
rnacentral:lncRNA from 1 species